GCCGCUUUAGCUCAGCCGGUAGAGCAUCGCAUUCGUAAUGCGGAGGUCGUCAGUUCGAGUCUGACAAGCGGCACCA
rnacentral:tRNA from 1 species